UACGUAGGGUGCGAGCGUUAAUCGGAAUUACUGGGCGUAAAGCGUGCGCAGGCGGUUCGUUGUGUCGGCGGUGAAAGCCCCGGGCUUAACCGUGGGAAUGGCCGUUGAAACUGGCGAACUGGAGUGUGGCAGAGGGGGGUGGAAUUCCGCGUGUAGCAGUGAAAUGCGUAGAGAUGCGGAGGAACACCGAUGGCGAAGGCAGCCCCCUGGGCUAACACUGACGCUCAGGCACGAAAGCGUGGGGAGCAAACAGG
rnacentral:rRNA from 1 species